UACGGAGGGAGCUAGCGUUAUUCGGAAUUACUGGGCGUAAAGCGCACGUAGGCGGCUUUGUAAGUAAGAGGUGAAAGCCCAGAGCUCAACUCUGGAAUUGCCUUUUAGACUGCAUCGCUUGAAUCAUGGAGAGGUCAGCGGAAUUCCGAGUGUAGAGGUGAAAUUCGUAGAUAUUCGGAAGAACACCAGUGGCGAAGGCGGCUGACUGGACAUGUAUUGACGCUGAGGUGCGAAAGCGUGGGGAGCAAACGGG
rnacentral:rRNA from 1 species